rnacentral:rRNA from 1 species
GACGAACGCUGGCGGCGUGCUUAACACAUGCAAGUCGACAUGAGUGGCGAACGGGUGUGUAAUACGUGGGUAACCUGCCCUCCUUUUUGGGAUAAGCCUUGGAAACGGGGUCUAAUACCGAAUUAAGGGGGAUGGGCUCGCGGCCUAUCAGCUUGUUGGUGGGGUGAUGGCCUACCAAGGCGGUGACGGGUAGCCGGCCUGAGAGGGUGACCGGCCAGAUUGGGACUGAGGUACGGCCCAGACUCGUAAGGGAGGAAGCAGUGGGGGGUAUUGCACAAUGGGAGAAAGCCGGAUGCAGCGAAGCCGCGUGGGGGAGGAAGGCUUUGGGGUUGUAAACCUCUUUCGCUAUAGAACGGGUAGGUGGAGAAGAAGCGCCGGCUAACUACGUGCCAGCAGCCGCGGUAAUAC